rnacentral:sRNA from 1 species
ACUGUGUUAACUCUGAGAGAACAAAUAAUGACUUUUUAAAGACUGUUAAUAGAAUAAUGAAGACUUACUGUGUUUUUAACGUGAAAAUUUUAGGUGACCAAGGGUCCUGCUAUAACAUACUGGGGGUCAUAGGAUAGUAGAAUGGUCAACAUCUCAAUUUAGACAUGUUACUUCCUGCUCUAAAUACACUUGUAGACGCUACUUGUGGUGUAACUCCUUAUGUAUUUAAUAAUUAUCUGACUCUGGUUUUCUUGGUUGAUUUUUUUAAAUGGGUGAAGAAUCUAGUUAUGAAUCCUUUGCCCUUUAUGGAAUGUGAUAUCUUGGUUUUUAUUCCAUCUGUUACUUCCCUUUUACUUAAUUUUAUCUUAUUGUUUUGCAUUGUGUUUCUAAAAUAAUGGCUUUGGCUUGUUUUUUCCUGAAUGUUUCUGCAGUUUGAUUUGAGUAUCUGGGUUUGGGCACCACUCCUGAACUUGGACUCCAUCUGUACUUGUGACUUUUGGAAGGCAGAGUCAGUGUUUUCUGUGGAAGAUGACUUUUUUUUAAUAUUAUAUAUGUGUAUCUCCCCCUCCCCUUUUUGGUUUCUCUUAAAAGACUGGAAAGAAAGCAGUUAAAGCAGUUCUGUGGGUCUCAGCAGAUGGACUCAGAGUUGUGGAUGAAAAAACUAAGGACCUUAUAGUUGACCAGACGAUAGAGAAAGUUUCUUUCUGUGCCCCAGACAGGAACUUUGAUAGAGCCUUUUCUUACAUAUGUCGUGAUGGCACCACUCGUCGCUGGAUCUGUCACUGCUUCAUGGCUGUCAAGGACACAGGUGAAAGGUUGAGCCAUGCAGUAGGCUGUGCUUUUGCAGCCUGUUUAGAGCGCAAGCAGAAGCGGGAGAAGGAAUGUGGAGUGACUGCUACUUUUGAUGCUAGUCGGACCACUUUUACAAGAGAAGGAUCAUUCCGUGUCACAACAGCCACUGAACAGGCAGAAAGAGAGGAGAUCAUGAAACAAAUGCAAGAUGCCAAGAAAGGUACAAUCUGUUCUACAGUGUGUAUUUAUGGAAUGCAGUUUUUCCCAACAAGGUAUUAUUUUGAAGCUACCAGGGGUAAAUUUUCUCAUAGUCAAAGAGAACCCUUAGCAAUAUAAAACCUUAUAACAGAGUUGAAAAUCUUAAAAACCGCUUCCUUUACAGUGGCUAGUUUAAUGGCUUCAAAAAUAUUUACUCCAUUAUAGUAAGCUAUCUGAGGAAUCAGAGUGCAGUUGAAGAAGCUGCAGAGACAUCUCUUACCCACUUCCUCCCAUCCUGAAAUACCUUUUUAAUUCUGAUGCAUCUGAUCUCUAUGAGAAGCAAAUGAAUCAAGUACCUGCAUCUUAAAGGAAGCAGCAGAGGUCCCAGGGCUUAAGGCUGCAAAGCAUCCACGGACUAUGAUGCUAGCAGAGAGAUUUAACAGUAAUACUGUUUAUAUGAUAUUAUUGCUGUUUUUUAGUGCUUUCUAGUCACAAAAGUCUAUAGAUUUUGAGAGGUAAGCCUAUAACUCUUUUUUCUAUAGCCCUGUUAAUUUAAUUUAGUGUGUGAUUUUAUAGAGUGUGAGUUUUAUUUAGGUACACAUGGCAUCACAGCAGAAAUGCCUGUACAAACAUUCAAGUUAGUCGGCAGUCUAUAAAUGUGAGUUGGGUAUAUUUUAGAACUAAAUGAUAGGGCUUGAAAAUACUUUUGAAUUCUUGUAUAUAAGUAGGGUUAAAACCAACAAGACAAGCACAAACAAUUCAAGUUAACUAAUAGACAUUAAUAUAAUUUUGAGGCCAGGUAUAGUGGCUCACAGCUGUAAUCUCAAUACUUUAGGAGGCUGAGGAGGAAACAUCACUUGAGGCCAGGAGUUUGUGACCAGACUGUGCAACAUAGACUCUAUCCCU